GAGCCGCGGGGGCUGCCGGGCCGGGUCCAAGAUGGCCGGGCGCCUCGGUUCGGCGUUUACCCCGCGGCCGCGAGCCCCAUUCAUUGCCCCGCUGCUGAGCGGUGCCGCAAGCCGGCCCAAGGAUUCUGGGGGCUGCCCUCCGGGGCAGGAGGCCACCAUGGCGACCCUGGAAAAGCUGAUGAAGGCCUUCGAGUCUCUCAAGUCCUUCCAGCAACAGCAACAGCAGCAGCAGCAGCCGCCGCCGCCGCCACCACCUCAGCCUCCUCAGCCCUCGCCGCAGGCACAGCCGCCGCCGCCGCCUCAGCCACAGCCGCCCCCGCCGCCGCCCCCGCCGCCGCCCGGCCCGGCGGUGGCUGAGGAACCAUUGCACCGACCAAAGAAAGAACUUUCAGCCACCAAGAAAGACCGUGUGAAUCAUUGUCUGACAAUAUGUGAAAACAUAGUGGCACAGUCUCUCAGAAAUUCUCCAGAAUUUCAGAAACUUCUGGGCAUCGCUAUGGAACUGUUUCUGCUGUGCAGUGAUGAUGCGGAGUCAGAUGUCAGGAUGGUGGCUGAUGAGUGCCUCAACAAAGUUAUAAAAGCUUUGAUGGAUUCCAAUCUUCCAAGGUUGCAGCUUGAGCUCUAUAAGGAAAUUAAAAAGAAUGGCGCCCCUCGAAGUCUCCGUGCCGCCCUGUGGAGAUUUGCUGAGCUGUCUCACCUGGUUCGGCCUCAGAAAUGCAGGCCUUACCUGGUGAACCUCCUGCCGUGCCUGACUCGAACAAGCAAGAGACCUGAGGAAUCAGUCCAGGAGACCUUGGCUGCAGCUGUUCCCAAAAUUAUGGCUUCUUUUGGCAAUUUUGCAAAUGACAAUGAAAUUAAGGUUUUAUUAAAGGCUUUCAUAGUGAAUCUGAAGUCCAGUUCCCCUACUAUUCGGCGGACAGCAGCUGGGUCAGCAGUGAGCAUCUGUCAGCACUCAAGAAGGACACAGUAUUUUUAUAGCUGGCUACUAAAUGUGCUUUUAGGUUUGCUAGUUCCUGUUGAAGAUGAACACUCCACCCUCCUGAUCCUGGGCGUGCUGCUCACAUUGAGGUAUUUGGUGCCCUUGCUGCAGCAGCAGGUCAAGGACACCAGCCUCAAAGGCAGUUUUGGGGUGACACGGAAAGAGAUGGAAGUCUCUCCCUCUGCAGAGCAGCUUGUUCAGGUUUAUGAACUGACCUUGCAUCACACACAGCACCAAGACCACAAUGUCGUGACUGGAGCCCUGGAACUCCUGCAGCAGCUCUUCAGAACUCCCCCACCGGACCUCCUGCAAGGCCUGACCACGCCAGGUGGCCUUGGGCAGCUCACUGCGGCUAAAGAUGAGUCUAGUGGCCGAAGUCGUAGUGGGAGUAUUGUGGAACUUAUAACUGGAGGGGGUUCCUCAUGCAGCCCUGUUCUUUCAAGAAAACAAAAAGGCAGAGUGCUCCUAAGCGAAGAAGCAGCGUUGGAAGAUGACUCUGAAUCGAGGUCAGACGCCAGCAGCUCUGCCUUUGCAGGUAGUUCUGCCUCUGUGAAAGAUGAGAUCGGAGGAGAGCUGGCUGCUUCUUCAGGGGUCUCCACUCCGGGGUCAGCUGGUCAUGACAUCAUCACUGAGCAGCCGCGGUCACAGCACACGCUGCAGGCAGACUCGGUGGAUCUGACCAGCUGUGACUUGACGAGUGCUGCCACCGAUGGGGAUGAGGAGGACAUCUUGAGCCACAGCUCCAGCCAAGUCAGCGCUGUCCCAUCUGACCCUGCCAUGGACCUCAAUGAUGGGACCCAGGCCUCCUCACCCAUCAGCGACAGCUCCCAGACCACCACCGAAGGGCCCGAUUCAGCUGUGACCCCUUCAGACAGUUCUGAAAUUGUGUUAGAUGGUGCUGACAGCCAGUAUUUGGGCGUGCAGAUCGGACAGCCCCAGGAUGAAGAUGAGGAAACUGCCAGUAUUGUUCCUGAUGAGGCCUCGGAUGCUUUCAGAAACUCUUCAAUCGCCCUUCAACAAGCACAUUUAUUGAAAAACAUGGGUCACAGCAGGCAGCCUUCUGACAGCAGUAUAGAUAAAUUUGUGUCAAGAGAUGAAGCUGCUGAACUAGGUGAUCAAGAAAACAAGCCUUGCCGCAUCAAAGGUGACAUAGGACAGCCUGCUGAUGACGAUUCUGUGCCUCUUGUCUAUUGUGUCCGUCUUUUAUCUGCCUCAUUUUUGCUAACGGGGGAAAAGAAUGUGCUGGUUCCGGACAGGGACGUGAGGGUCAGUGUGAAGGCCCUGGCACUCAGCUGUAUUGGGGCAGCCGUGGCCCUUCAUCCAGAAUCUUUCUUCAGCAAACUGUAUAAAGUACCUCUUGACACCAUGGAAUACCCUGAGGAGCAGUAUGUCUCAGACAUCCUGAACUACAUUGAUCAUGGAGACCCACAGGUCCGAGGAGCCACUGCCAUCCUCUGUGGGACCCUCAUCUGCGCCAUCCUCAGCAGAUCCCGCUUCCACGUGGGAGACUGGAUGGGCACCAUUAGAACUCUAACAGGAAAUACAUUUUCUCUGGCGGACUGCAUUCCUUUGUUGCAGAAAACUUUGAAGGAUGAAUCCUCUGUUACUUGCAAGUUGGCUUGUACAGCUGUGAGGCAUUGUGUCAUGAGUCUCUGUAGCAGCAGCUACAGCGAAUUAGGAUUACAGCUGAUCAUCGACAUGCUGACCCUGAGGAAUAGUUCCUACUGGCUGGUGAGGACAGAGCUUUUGGAAACUCUUGCAGAGAUUGACUUUAGGCUGGUGAGCUUUUUGGAGGCAAAAGCAGAAAACUUGCACAGAGGGGCUCAUCAUUACACAGGGCUUUUAAAACUGCAAGAACGAGUGCUCAAUAACGUUGUCAUCUAUUUGCUUGGGGAUGAAGACCCCAGAGUGCGACAUGUUGCCGCAGCAUCGUUAAUGAGGCUUGUCCCAAAGCUGUUUUAUAAAGGCGACCAAGGACAAGCUGAUCCAGUAGUGGCCGUGGCAAGAGAUCAAAGCAGUGUUCACCUGAAACUUCUCAUGCACGAGACGCAGCCUCCAUCUCACUUCUCUGUCAGCACGAUAACCAGAAUAUAUAGAGGCUAUAACUUACUACCCAGCAUAACAGAUGUCACUAUGGAAAAUAACCUUUCAAGAGUUAUUGCAGCAGUUUCUCAGGAGCUAAUCACAUCAACCACAAAGGCACUCACAUUUGGAUGCUGUGAAGCUUUGUGUCUUCUUUCAACUGCCUUCCCAGUUUGCAUUUGGAGUUUAGGCUGGCAUUGUGGAGUACCCCCACUGAGUGCCUCAGAUGAUUCUAGAAAGAGCUGUACGGUUGGGAUGGCCACAAUGAUUCUUACCCUGCUUUCGUCAGCUUGGUUUCCAUUGGAUCUCUCAGCCCAUCAAGAUGCUUUGAUUUUGGCUGGAAAUUUGAUUGCAGCCAGUGCUCCCAAAUCUCUGAGAAGUUCAUGGACCUCUGAAGAGGAAGCCAACUCAGCAGCCAAUAAACAAGAGGAGGUCUGGCCAGCUCUGGGUGACCGGACCCUGGUGCCCAUGGUGGAGCAGCUUUUCUCCCACCUACUGAAGGUGAUUAAUAUCUGUGCUCAUGUCUUGGAUGAUGUGACUCCUGGACCGGCAAUAAAGGCAGCCUUACCUUCUCUAACAAACCCCCCUUCUUUAAGUCCCAUCCGACGAAAGGGAAAGGAAAAGGAACCAGAACAAGCAUCUGUCCCACUGAGUCCCAAGAAAGGCAGCGAGGCCAGUGCAGCUGCUAGACAACCUGAUCCCUCAGGGCCUGUUACAACAAGCAAAUCCUCAUCCUUGGGGAGUUUCUAUCAUCUUCCUUCAUACCUCAAACUGCACGAUGUCCUGAAAGCUACUCAUGCCAACUACAAGGUUACCUUGGAUCUUCAGAACAGUACUGAAAAGUUUGGGGGGUUUCUGCGUUCUGCCUUGGAUGUUCUCUCUCAGAUUCUAGAACUGGCGACACUGCAGGACAUUGGGAAGUGUGUUGAAGAGAUCCUGGGUUACCUAAAGUCCUGCUUUAGUCGAGAACCAAUGAUGGCAACUGUUUGUGUUCAACAAUUGUUGAAGACUCUCUUUGGGACAAACUUGGCCUCCCAGUUUGAUGGCUUAUCGUCCAACCCCAGCAAGUCUCAAGGCCGAGCACAACGCCUUGGCUCCUCCAGCGCAAGGCCAGGCUUGUAUCACUACUGCUUCAUGGCUCCGUACACCCACUUCACCCAGGCCCUUGCGGAUGCCAGCCUGAGGAACAUGGUGCAAGCGGAGCAGGAACAUGACACGUCAGGAUGGUUUGAUGUACUCCAAAAAGUAUCUACCCAGCUGAAGACAAAUCUCACGAGUGUCGCAAAGAACCGUGCAGAUAAGAAUGCUAUUCAUAAUCACAUUCGUUUAUUCGAGCCUCUUGUUAUAAAAGCUUUAAAGCAGUACACGACAACAACAUCUGUGCAAUUACAGAAGCAGGUUUUGGAUUUGUUAGCACAGCUGGUUCAGUUGCGGGUUAAUUACUGUCUUCUGGAUUCAGAUCAGGUGUUUAUUGGCUUUGUGUUGAAACAGUUCGAAUACAUUGAAGUGGGCCAGUUCAGGGAAUCAGAGGCAAUUAUUCCAAACAUCUUUUUCUUCCUGGUAUUACUAUCUUAUGAACGCUAUCAUUCAAAACAAAUCAUUGGAAUUCCUAAAAUCAUUCAGCUCUGUGAUGGCAUCAUGGCCAGUGGGAGGAAGGCGGUAACGCACGCCAUACCGGCUCUGCAGCCCAUAGUCCACGACCUCUUUGUAUUAAGAGGAACAAAUAAAGCUGAUGCAGGAAAAGAGCUUGAAACUCAAAAGGAGGUGGUGGUCUCAAUGUUACUGAGACUUAUCCAGUACCAUCAGGUGUUGGAGAUGUUUAUUCUCGUCUUGCAGCAGUGCCACAAGGAGAAUGAAGACAAAUGGAAGCGGCUGUCUCGACAAAUAGCUGACAUCAUCCUCCCAAUGUUAGCCAAACAACAGAUGCACAUUGACUCUCAUGAAGCCCUUGGAGUGUUAAAUACUCUGUUUGAGAUUUUGGCCCCUUCCUCACUGCGUCCCGUGGACAUGCUAUUACGGAGUAUGUUUGUCACCCCAAGCACAAUGGCAUCUGUGAGCACUGUUCAGCUGUGGAUAUCAGGAAUCCUAGCCAUUUUGCGGGUUCUGAUUUCCCAGUCAACUGAAGACAUUGUUCUUUCUCGAAUUCAGGAGCUCUCAUUCUCCCCAUAUUUAGUCUCCUGCCCAGUGAUUAAUAGGUUAAGACAUGGGGAGAGUAACUCAACAUCAGAAGAACACAGUGAAGGGAGGCAAAUGAAGAACUUGCCAGAAGAAACAUUUUCAAGGUUUCUAUUACAACUAGUUGGUACUCUUUUAGAGGACAUCGUUACAAAACAGCCAAAGGUGGAAAUGAGUGAACAGCAACAUACUUUCUAUUGCCAAGAGCUAGGCACGCUGCUGAUGUGUCUGAUCCACAUCUUCAAGUCUGGAAUGUUCCGGAGAAUCACAGCAGCUGCCACUAGACUCUUCACCAGCGACGGCUGUGACGGCAGUUUCUACACCCUGGAGAGCUUGAACCUGCGGGUGCGCUCCAUGGUCCCCACACACCCGGCCCUGGUGCUGCUCUGGUGUCAGAUCCUGCUGCUUGUCAACCACACCGACCACUGCUGGUGGGCAGAGGUGCAGCAGACCCCAAAAAGACACAGUCUGUCCAGCACGAAGUUACUUAGUCCCCAGAUGUCUGGAGAAGAAGAGGAUUCUGACUUGGCAGCCAAACUUGGAAUGUGCAAUAGAGAAAUAGUACGAAGAGGGGCUCUCAUUCUCUUCUGUGAUUAUGUCUGUCAGAACCUUCAUGACUCAGAGCACUUAACUUGGCUCAUUGUGAAUCACAUUCAAGACCUGAUCAGCCUGUCCCACGAGCCUCCGGUGCAGGACUUUAUUAGUGCUGUUCAUCGGAACUCUGCUGCCAGCGGCCUAUUCAUCCAGGCAAUUCAGUCUCGUUGUGAAAAUCUUUCAUCCCCGACCACUCUGAAGAAGACUCUUCAGUGCUUGGAGGGGAUCCAUCUCAGCCAGUCAGGCGCUGUGCUCACGCUGUAUGUGGACAGGCUUCUGUGCACCCCCUUCCGCGCGCUGGGUCGCAUGGUCGAUAUUUUGGCCUGUCGCCGGGUAGAAAUGCUUUUGGCUGCAAAUUUGCAGAGCAGCACGGCACAGCUGCCAGAAGAAGAACUCAGCAGAAUCCAGGAGCACCUUCAGCGCAGUGGGCUCGCCCGAAGACACCAAAGGCUUUAUUCCCUGCUGGACAGGUUUCGUCUCUCCACGGUACAAGACUCACUUAGUCCCUCUCCUCCAGUUUCUUCCCACCCGCUGGACGGGGACGGGCACGUGUCACUGGAAACAGUGAGUCCAGACAAAGACUGGUACAUGCGUCUUGUCAAAUCCCAGUGUUGGACCAGGUCAGAUUCUGCACUGCUGGAAGGUGCAGAGCUGGUGAAUCGGAUUCCUGCCGAAGAAAUGAGUGCCUUCAUGAUGAACUCGGAGUUCAACCUAAGCCUAAUAGCUCCAUGCUUAAGCCUAGGCAUGAGUGAGAUUUCUGGUGGCCAGAAGAGUCCCCUUUUGGAAGCGGCCUGUGAGGUGACUCUGGGUCGUGUGGCCAGCCUUGUUCAGCAGCUCCCUGCUGUCCACCACGUCUUCCAGCCCUGCCUGCCUUCAGAGCCCACGGCCUACUGGAGCAAGCUGAGUGAUCUAUUUGGGGAUGCCACGUGGUAUCAAUCCCUGACCACUCUGGCCCGGGCCCUGGCACAAUACCUAAUGGUGGUCUCCAAGCUGCCCAGUCACUUGCACCUUCCUCCUGAGAAGGAGAGGGACACGGUGAAGUUUGUGGUGAUGACCCUCGAGGCCCUGUCGUGGCAUUUGAUCCAUGAGCAGAUCCCGCUGAGUCUGGACCUCCAGGCAGGGCUGGACUGCUGCUGCCUGGCCCUGCAGCUGCCCGGCCUCUGGAGUGUGGUCUCCUCCACAGAGUUCGUGACCCAUGCCUGUUCCCUCAUCCACUGCGUGCACUUCAUCCUGGAAGCCAUUGCUGUGCAGCCUGGAGAGCAGCUUCUUAGUCCAGAAAGAAGGACCAGUGCUCCAAAGGCUGUCAGACAGGAGGAUGAGGUAGACUCAAACACACAGAAUCCUCAGUAUAUCACCUCAGCCUGUGAGAUGGUGGCAGAAAUGGUGGAGUCUCUGCAGUCAGUGUUGGCCUUGGGUCACAAAAGGAAUAGCAGCAUGCCAGCGUUUCUCACGCCGGUGCUCAAGAACAUCGUCAUCAGCCUGGCCCGCUUGCCCCUUGUCAACAGCUACACACGUGUGCCACCCCUGGUGUGGAAACUUGGGUGGUCACCCAAACCAGGAGGGGAUUUUGGCACAGCAUACCCUGAGAUCCCUGUGGAGUUUCUCCAGGAAAAGGAAGUAUUUAAGGAGUUCAUCUACCGCAUCAACACACUAGGGUGGACCAGUCGUACCCAGUUUGAAGAGACAUGGGCCACCCUCCUUGGUGUCCUGGUUACCCAGCCCCUCGUGAUGGAGCAGGAAGAGAGCCCACCAGAAGAAGACACGGAAAGGACCCAGAUCCAUGUCCUGGCCGUCCAGGCCAUCACCUCGCUGGUGCUUAGUGCGAUGACCGUGCCCGUGGCUGGCAACCCGGCUGUGAGCUGCUUGGAGCAGCAGCCCCGGAACAAGCCCCUGAAAGCUCUUGAUACCAGGUUUGGGAGGAAGCUGAGCAUUAUCCGUGGUAUUGUCGAGCAGGAGAUUCAAGCAAUGGUUUCGAAGAGAGAGAACAUUGCCACCCAUCACUUGUACCAGGCGUGGGAUCCUGUGCCUUCUCUGUCUCCGGCUACUACAGGUGCCCUCAUCAGCCACGACAAGCUGCUGCUGCAGAUCAACCCCGAGCGAGAGCUGGGGAACAUGAGCUACAAGCUUGGCCAGGUGUCCAUACAUUCUGUGUGGCUGGGGAACAACAUCACACCCCUGAGGGAAGAGGAGUGGGAUGAGGAAGAGGAAGAGGAGGCAGACAUCCCUGCACCUUCAUCACCACCCACGUCUCCAGUCAACUCCAGGAAGCACCGGGCUGGAGUUGACAUCCACUCCUGUUCCCAGUUUUUGCUCGAACUGUACAGUCGCUGGAUCCUGCCAUCGAGUUCAGCCAGAAGGACCCCAGUCAUCCUGAUCAGUGAAGUGGUUCGAUCCCUUCUAGUGGUCUCAGACUUGUUCACUGAACGCAAUCAGUUUGAGAUGAUGUAUUCGACGCUGACAGAACUGCGGAGGGUGCACCCUUCGGAAGACGAGAUUCUCGUUCAGUAUUUGGUGCCGGCCAUCUGUAAGGCGGCUGCCGUCCUCGGCAUGGACAAGGCUGUGGCAGAGCCGGUCAGCCGCCUGCUGGAGAGCACACUCAGGAGCAGUCACCUGCCCAGCAAGAUCGGAGCCCUGCAUGGCAUCCUCUACGUGCUGGAGUGCGACCUGCUGGACGACACUGCAAAGCAACUCAUCCCGGUCAUCAGUGACUAUCUCCUCUCCAACCUCAAAGGAAUAGCUCACUGCGUGAACACUCACAGCCAGCAGCACGUGCUGGUGAUGUGUGCCACCGCAUUCUACCUGGUUGAGAACUACCCUCUGGACGUGGGGCCAGAAUUCUCAGCAUCAAUAAUACAGAUGUGUGGGGCAAUGCUGUCUGGAAGUGAGGAGUGCACCCCCUCUGUCAUCUACCACUGCGCCCUCAGGGGCCUGGAGCGCCUCCUGCUCUCCGAGCAGCUCUCGCGGCUGGAUGCGGAGUCCCUGGCCAAGCUGAGUGUGGACAGAGUGAACGUGCACAGCCCACACCGGGCCAUGGCAGCCCUGGGCCUGAUGCUCACCUGCAUGUACACAGGAAAGGAGAAAAUCAGUCCAGGUAGAACCUCAGACCCUAACCCUGCAGCCCCAGACAGCGAGUCAGUGAUUGUUGCUAUGGAGCGAGUGUCUGUUCUUUUUGAUAGGAUCAGGAAAGGGUUUCCCUGUGAAGCCAGAGUGGUGGCCAGGAUCCUGCCUCAGUUUCUAGACGACUUCUUCCCACCCCAGGAUGUCAUGAACAAAGUCAUUGGAGAGUUUCUGUCCAACCAGCAGCCUUACCCACAGUUCAUGGCCACCGUGGUGUACAAGGUGUUUCAGACCCUGCACAGCACCGGGCAGUCAUCCAUGGUACGUGACUGGGUCAUGCUCUCCCUCUCCAACUUCACGCAGAGGACCCCAGUCGCCAUGGCCACGUGGAGUCUCUCCUGCUUCUUCGUCAGCGCUUCCACCAGCCCCUGGGUCGCGGCAAUCCUCCCACAUGUCGUCAGCAGGAUGGGCAAGCUGGAGCAGGUGGACGUGAACCUUUUCUGCCUGGUGGCCACAGACUUUUACAGACACCAGAUAGAAGAGGAGCUCGACCGCAGGGCCUUCCAGUCUGUGUUUGAGGUGGUCGCAGCUCCAGGAAGCCCAUACCACCGGCUGCUGACUUGUUUGCGAAAUGUCCACAAGGUCGCCACCUGCUGAGCCCGUUCUGGAGAGGCUGUGACGCAGUGGCGACUGGUGCCGAAGCCUCUGGGAGCCUGUGCCAAGCGCCUGCCUCCACCGGCCGGCUCAGUCACCACAGGCUUCCACUCACGCCAUGGGUGGCCAGGCAGUGUGCGUGUCUUUGCCACGUGGCAGAAGUGCUCUUCGCAGUGAGCACGUGUGCUCUUUCAGGAGGAAAGUGUGAAGCUGAAACACCUUGCAGACACCCAGAACGUAGCGUCAGACAAGGCUCUGUACCCUAAAGGACACCCCUCAGCACCUCCAUUGCCGGGGUUAUCUCAGAGCCUCGGAGUGAGCAGCUCCUCCUGAUGGAGCAGGGACGAGCCCUGCUGUCCAGCUCGGGGGCACAGAUCCUGAACACAGCAAUAACCAUUUCGAGGGCUGGAGUGAGCUUGGUACUGUGUGUUGGGGGAGUGGAGUUAGUCUUGUGCCACCUGUGAGCACCCUCCCUAGCGAACAUCCUCACUCGGGCUUUGUCCCUCCCUCCCUCCCUCCCUCUGCGAUGGGUGCCAGGACCGCAGCUGCUGGCCGGGCUGGACUUGGAGUUGUUCUCCGGUGGGGCAGCGUGUGUGAACGGGGAAACAGAAGACCUCGACAGCUGCCAGGGCUCAGUGGAGCUCGGGAUGGCUGGGGCGAGAAGGGGCCGCUCCCCUACUGGGCCUGGUACCACUGGGAUGAGAGAUCUGCCCAGAGAGCCAUGUGACAGCUGAAGGCCACCAGGAAGGUGCAGGGGCCACUCUUUCCCUGCUUGCCUGUCGCGUGCUAAUGCCGUUGAAGGAAACCCCUCUCUUCACUUGUUUCUGGGAGCAAAGGCUCCUGCUGCACACAGGUGGUGACCACCGGCCUCGGAGGAUCGAGCCAGCAUGGACCUGUCCACGGUGGCUGGCUCUGACCCUAGUGGGGCCUCCUGCCGGGUCUCCUGCUUCGUGCUGCAGGCAGAGUGGCCGGGAGCUAGUGGGGCUGUGAUGGGCAAGCCCGGAGCCCUGCCCAGACCUGACCACGUGCUUCCGGCAGGAAAGGGAAGGACUGACACGAGAUGUAUAUUUAAAAUUUUUUUUAUCUGCUGCAAACAUUGUACAUACAAAUUAAAGGAAAAAAUUAAACCAUGAAU